UCAUAAGUCACUUUGCCACAGUAGUGUUUGUGUGUGUGUGUGUGUAUGUAUGUAUGUAUGUAUGUGUGUGUGUGUAUGUAUAUAUAUAUAUAUAUAUAUAUAUACACACAAACUCUACCGUGGCACAAUGACUUAUAG